rnacentral:rRNA from 1 species
GACAGAGGUGCCAAGCGUUAGGCGGAAUCACUGGGCGUAAAGGGUGCGUAGGCGGGUCUUUAAGUCAGGGGUGAAAUCCUGGAGCUCAACUCCAGAACUGCCUUUGAUACUGAGGAUCUUGAGUUCGGGAGAGGUGAGUGGAACUGCGAGUGUAGAGGUGAAAUUCGUAGAUAUUCGCAAGAACACCAGUGGCGAAGGCGGCUCACUGGCCCGAUACUGACGCUGAGGCACGAAAGCGUGGGGAGCAAACAGG